UGACAGGAUGAGGACACAACUGUCACGGGUCUACGUGUGACAUCUGAGUUCUAUAAGGAAGUCCACAGGAGGCCAACAGCCCUGUUCUAAUGGGCCCAUUGAGAGCUGACGUUUCUGUUUCCUCAUGACUUUGGCAUCCACAUGACUUUGGCUUGCCCUGGGAUCUCCAGUGCCACCUUGACCUCAAGCUGCCCUGAGAUGAGCAGCUCUUCUCUACAAUAGGCUCCUCACCAUGAUGCCUGCCUUGCCACAGAUCCAAACACAGUGGAUCACAUGACCAUGGACUGAAACCCC